GACGAACGCUGGCGGCGUGCUUAACACAUGCAAGUCGAACGGUGAACGAGGGAGCUUGCUCCCUCAGGAUCAGUGGCGAACGGGUGAGUAACACGUGAGCAAUCUGCCCCGAACUCUGGGAUAAGCGUUGGAAACGACUUCUAAUACCGGAUACGACGCGGGAGGGCAUCCUCUCCGCGUGGAAAGAACUUCGGUUCGGGAUGAGCUCGCGGCCUAUCAGCUUGUUGGUGAGGUAACGGCUCACCAAGGCGACGACGGGUAGCCGGCCUGAGAGGGUGACCGGCCACACUGGGACUGAGACACGGCCCAGACUCCUACGGGAGGCAGCAGUGGGGAAUAUUGCACAAUGGGCGCAAGCCUGAUGCAGCAACGCCGCGUGAGGGACGACGGCCUUCGGGGUGUAAACCUCUUUUAGCAGGGAAGAAGCGAAAGUGACGGUACCUGCAGAAAAAGCACCGGCUAACUACGUG
rnacentral:rRNA from 1 species